rnacentral:rRNA from 1 species
AUGCACGCCAUCCUCAGAAGCCCACACUGUCUCCUCCCCACAAUGGAACUCGCAAAGUCCUUCAUACUCGCCUUGCUGGCCCUUCACGCAUGGCUUGCUGCCGGUUCCGUAGUCGACGACCGCCUCGCGCUCAUGUCAUUCAUGUCAGGCAUGACAGCCAACUCAUCGUUAGCUUUUGCACGGUCGUCGUGGGGCAACCGCUCCGUUCCGACAUGCGAGUGGCGUGGCAUGGCGUGUGGCCUGAGUGGCCGCCGCCGCGGCCGUGUGGUGGCACUGGAUCUCCCCGGGCUCGGCCUCGGCGGCACUGUUCCGCCCGAACUGGGUAACCUCACCUACCUGAGGCGGCUCCAUCUCCCUGCCAACCACCUCCAUGGCGUCCUCCCGCUGGAGCUCGGCAGCCUCCCUGACCUCAGGCACCUCAACCUCAGCUACAACUCCUUCCAGGGGAGGAUCCCGGCGUCGCUUUCAAACUGCAGCCUGAUCAAAAGGCUUUAUGAACCCAUGCCGGCAAGAUAUCAUCAUAAAAUGGGUGAGAACUGCGUGCUCAUAAUCGCAGUAAGUGGCUUAGAGAUGCUGUCUACCACUGUUAACUUGGGAAUAAAACUUCUUGACAUACAACCUGCCCAAUAG